rnacentral:rRNA from 1 species
ACGCUCGACACCUACGGGAGCCAGCAGUGGGGAAUAUUGGGCAAUGGGCGCAAGCCUGACCCAGCAACGCCGCGUGAAGGAAGAAGGCCCUCGGGUUGUAAACUUCUUUUAACAGGGACGAAGCAAGUGACGGUACCUGUUGAAUAAGCCACGGCUAACUACGUGCCUGCAGCCGCGGUAAUCUGAGCGGGCUGGCAAGGGC